rnacentral:rRNA from 2 species
UAAGAUCCCUGAAAGAUGAUCAGGUUGAUAGGUCAGAGGUGGAAGCGUGGCGACAUGUGGAGCUGACUGAUACUAAUCGAUCGAGGACUUAACCAC